rnacentral:rRNA from 1 species
GGAAGGUGGGGAGUGACGUCAAGUCCUCAUGGCCCUUAUGGUAGGGCGUUCACACGUCAUACAAUGGUCGGUACAGAGGGUUGCCAACCCGCGAGGGGGAGGCUAAUCCCACAAAGCCGAUCGUAGUCCGGAUCGCAGUCUGCAACUCGACUGCGUGAAGUCAGAAUCGCUAGUAAUCGUGGAUCAGCAUGUCACGGUGAAUACGUUCCCGGGUCUU